CCCACACCCAUGUAUAGGGCUUCAAAGGAUCACCAUUAAAUUUGGCAGAGAUCUCUAGAAAAGUUAUCACAUGGGUGUGAGACUUGACUUUUCGAGAGAUCUAUGCCAAAUUUAAUGGUGAUCCUUUGAGGUCCUACACACAUAAGUGUGGG
rnacentral:pre_miRNA from 1 species